GCUGGCUGCUCCUUUUCUGGGAAUUUGGCACAGGAAAGAGGCUCCCUCUUGCGACUAAAUGCAAUUGCUACAGGCCCAGGGAACCCGGAGGCGGUGCGUUCCUGGGAGUCUGGACUGGCUGCUCAGCACUGGGCAAAUACUGGCCAGAGCUCUCUUCCUCCGCUGCCCUGAGGGCUGGCACGUGCUGGGGGGGUUGUCAAGCCAAGACCAUGUGGGAGAAAGCAGGUCUGAUGUCUCUUCCCAUCUCAUUUUUAUCGGGCUACAUCCUCCCUCCCACCCCCACUCGCGUGGAUGCAGAAAGGAAACGACUGGCUUCCUUUCCUUGGCUGCAGCCAGCUUCCUUCCUUCGACUCCCGCCGCCCGGGGUUGCGUCAGCGGACCCUUCAGACCGUGCCUUGCAAACCACAGCACAGGACAUAAAAGAGCCGGGCUCAGCGAGACGGAAGCGAAAGCCAAAAGCGGGCUGGCAGGCCGCAUUAUCAGUGUCACAUUGAAAACCGACGCCGGGGCAGCCGCACGCCAAACCCGACAGGAACUGCACGCCCCAGCGCGUCUCCCACCCGGGGCUUCGAGACGCAAACAAGUCUCGGCUCAAGAAGCAUCCAAGCUUUCCAUGUGUAAACGGGACUUGAUAACUGCAGGUGUGCCCAAGAGAGCGAGCUCGGAGAGAGCGUGAAGCACAGCGAGAGACUCAGAGAUGGAAGACAACGUGCCGGCAGGGUGUUGUUGGGGCACAUCACCCACCCCCACCAGACCUAACUGGGGAGUCUUCCCUGCUUUGCA
rnacentral:lncRNA from 1 species